UCAGCGACUUAUAUUCUGUAGCAAGGUUAACCGAAUAGGGGAGCCGGAGGGAAACCGAGUCUUAAUUGGGCGUUAAGUUGCAGGGUAUAGACCCGAAACCCGGUGAUCUAGCCAUGGGCAGGUUGAAGGUUGGGUAACACUAACUGGAGGACCGAACCGACUAAUGUUGAAAAAUUAGCGGAUGACCUGUGGCUGGGGGUGAAAGGCCAAUCAAACCGGGAGAUAGCUGGUUCUCCCCGAAAGCUAUUUAGGUAGCGCCUCGUGAAUUCAUCUCCGGGGGUAGAGCACUGUUUCGGCUAGGGGGCCAUCCCGGCUUACCAACCCGAUGCAAACUGCGAAUACCGGAGAAUGUUAUCACGGGAGACACACGGCGGGUGCUAACGUCCGUCGUGAAGAGGGAAACAACCCAGACCGCCAGCUAAGGUCCCAAAGUCAUGGUUAAGUGGGAAACGAUGUGGGAAGGCCCAGACAGCCAGGAUGUUGGCUUAGAAGCAGCCAUCAUUUAAAGAAAGCGUAAUAGCUCACUGGUCGAGUCGGCCUGCGCGGAAGAUGUAACGGGGCUAAACCAUGCACCGAAGCUGCGGCAGCGACACUGUGUGUUGUUGGGUAGGGGAGCGUUCUGUAAGCCUGUGAAGGUGUGUCGUGAGGCAUGCUGGAGGUAUCAGAAGUGCGAAUGCUGACAUAAGUAACGAUAAAGCGGGUGAAAAGCCCGCUCGCCGGAAGACCAAGGGUUCCUGUCCAACGUUAAUCGGGGCAGGGUGAGUCGACCCCUAAGGCGAGGCCGAAAGGCGUAGUCGAUGGGAAACGGGUUAAUAUUCCCGUACUUGGUGUUACUGCGAAGGGGGGACGGAGAAGGCUAUGUUGGCCGGGCGACGGUUGUCCCGGUUUAAGCGUGUAGGUGUGUGUUCCAGGUAAAUCCGGUUCACUUUAACACUGAGGCGUGACGACGAGGCACUACGGUGCUGAAGCAACAAAUGCCCUGCUUCCAGGAAAAGCCUCUAAGCAUCAGGUAACAUCAAAUCGUACCCCAAACCGACACAGGUGGUCAGGUAGAGAAUACCAAGGCGCUUGAGAGAACUCGGGUGAAGGAACUAGGCAAAAUGGUGCCGUAACUUCGGGAGAAGGCACGCUGACACGUAGGUGAAGUGAUUUACUCAUGGAGCUGAAGUCAGUCGAAGAUACCAGCUGGCUGCAACUGUUUAUUAAAAACACAGCACUGUGCAAACACGAAAGUGGACGUAUACGGUGUGACGCCUGCCCGGUGCCGGAAGGUUAAUUGAUGGGGUCAGCGCAAGCGAAGCUCCUGAUCGAAGCCCCGGUAAACGGCGGCCGUAACUAUAACGGUCCUAAGGUAGCGAAAUUCCUUGUCGGGUAAGUUCCGACCUGCACGAAUGGCGUAAUGAUGGCCAGGCUGUCUCCACCCGAGACUCAGUGAAAUUGAACUCGCUGUGAAGAUGCAGUGUACCCGCGGCAAGACGGAAAGACCCCGUGAACCUUUACUAUAGCUUGACACUGAACAUUGAGCCUUGAUGUGUAGGAUAGGUGGGAGGCUUUGAAGUGUGGACGCCAGUCUGCAUGGAGCCGACCUUGAAAUACCACCCUUUAAUGUUUGAUGUUCUAACGUGGACCCGUUACCCGGGUUGCGGACAGUGUCUGGUGGGUAGUUUGACUGGGGCGGUCUCCUCCUAAAGAGUAACGGAGGAGCACGAAGGUUGGCUAAUCCUGGUCGGACAUCAGGAGGUUAGUGCAAUGGCAUAAGCCAGCUUGACUGCGAGCGUGACGGCGCGAGCAGGUGCGAAAGCAGGUCAUAGUGAUCCGGUGGUUCUGAAUGGAAGGGCCAUCGCUCAACGGAUAAAAGGUACUCCGGGGAUAACAGGCUGAUACCGCCCAAGAGUUCAUAUCGACGGCGGUGUUUGGCACCUCGAUGUCGGCUCAUCACAUCCUGGGGCUGAAGUAGGUCCCAAGGGUAUGGCUGUUCGCCAUUUAAAGUGGUACGCGAGCUGGGUUUAGAACGUCGUGAGACAGUUCGGUCCCUAUCUGCCGUGGGCGCUGGAGAACUGAGGGGGGCUGCUCCUAGUACGAGAGGACCGGAGUGGACGCAUCACUGGUGUUCGGGUUGUCAUGCCAAUGGCACUGCCCGGUAGCUAAAUGCGGAAGAGAUAAGUGCUGAAAGCAUCUAAGCACGAAACUUGCCCCGAG
rnacentral:rRNA from 1 species